CCUACGGGGCGCUGCAGUCGAGAAUCAUUCACAAUGGGGGAAACCCUGAUGGUGCGACGCCGCGUGGGGGAAUGAAGGUCUUCGGAUUGUAAACCCCUGUCAUGUGGGAGCAAAUUAAAAAGAUAGUACCACACGAGGAAGAGACGGCUAACUCUGUGCCAGCAGCCGCGGUAAUACAGAGGUCUCAAGCGGUGUUCGGAAUCACUGGGCGUAAAGCGUGCGUAGGCUGUUUCGUAAGUCGUGUGUGAAAGGCGCGGGCUCAACCCGCGGACGGCACAUGAUACUGCGAGACUAGAGUAAUGGAGGGGGAACCGGAAUUCUCGGUGUAGCAGUGAAAUGCGUAGAUAUCGAGAGGAACACUCGUGGCGAAGGCGGGUUCCUGGACAUUAACUGACGCUGAGGCACGAAGGCCAGGGGAGCGAAAGGGAUUAGAUACCCGGGUAGUC
rnacentral:rRNA from 1 species